CCGAUUUAAUUUUCAUGCACACUCAAGGAAGUAUAUCAAGGAAGACAACUAUAAAGAGUAUUUCAUGCAACGUUUUCCCGAACUUCCUCUUCUGGUGCACAAAAUUAUUAGAUCGACUGACUGGAAAACAAGACCUAAAUUGCAAAAACGUUUUACCUGAAACAUAAAUCCUGUGAAAAUUGAAGGAAGGCAAUGGAAAGAAAUUUGAAGAUAUUAUUGACAACCAUAAUCUUGAUGGAAAAUAAAGUAUAACAAACUUUUAACUAAUCAUGUGCCACUUUCAAAUUGUUAAUUUGAGCAACGACCAAGAAAUUGGUUCAUAAAGUCAUAUCAAGGAUUACUUGCAUGUAUAGUCACUGAAGUAUGGAUUAUUAAUUAACUUAAAUUCGAUCAUAUAUGUAUGUAAAGGUCUUAAUUGAUGUAGGACGUGAAUGCAUGAAAAGCAAUUAGGGAAAUGUUGUAUUAAUUAUAGUCGUAGAGCAUCUUGCAAAUAAAUGUAACUUUUGUUAUA